rnacentral:tRNA from 1 species
GGCCUGAUAUAGUGGCUUAAGUGUUGGACUGUGACUCUGGAGGACAGGGUUCAAAUCCCCAUUUGGCCA